UACGGAGGGUGCAAGCAUUAAUCGGAUUUAUUGGGCGUAAAGGGCGCGUAGGCGGGCUUUCAAGUCAGAUGUGAAAUCCUGAAGCUCAACUUCAGAACUGCAUUUGAAACUGAUAGUCUAGAGGGUAGGCGGAGAAAAUAGAAUUCCACAAGUAGCGGUGAAAUGCGUAGAUAUGUGGAAGAAUACCGGUGGCGAAGGCGAUUUUCUAGCUUAUACCUGACGCUGAGGCGCGAAAGUAAGGGGAUCAAACAGG
rnacentral:rRNA from 1 species